rnacentral:rRNA from 1 species
CACGUAGGGUGCGAGCGUUGUCCGGAAUUAUUGGGCGUAAAGAGCUCGUAGGCGGUUUGUCGCGUCUGCUGUGAAAUCCGGAGGCUCAACCUCCGGCCUGCAGUGGGUACGGGCAGACUAGAGUGCGGUAGGGGGAGAUUGGAAUUCCUGGUGUAGCGGUGGAAUGCGCAGAUAUCAGGAGGAACACCGAUGGCGAAGGCAGAUCUCUGGGCCGUAACUGACGCUGAGGAGCGAAAGCAUGGGGAGCGAACAGG